rnacentral:rRNA from 1 species
GUGGGGAAUAUUGCACAAUGGGCGCAAGCCUGAUGCAGCCAUGCCGCGUGAAGGAUGAAGGCCUUCGGGUUGUAAACUUCUUUUGGAGGGGACGAAUAAAUUGACGGUACCCUCAGAAAAAGCCACGGCUAACUACGUGCCAGCAGCCGCGGUAAUACGUAGGUGGCGAGCGUUACUCGGAAUUACUAGGCGUAAAGCGUAUGUAGGCGGUUGUAUAAGUCUAUGGUGAAAUUUCCUGGCUCAACUGGGAAGGGACAUAGAUACUGUAUGGCUUGAGUGGUGGAGGGGGAGACGGAAUUCCUGGUGUAGCGGUGAAAUGCGUAGAUAUCAGGAGGAACACCGAUGGCGAAAGCAGUCUCCUGGCCAAAUACUGACGCUGAGGUACGAAAGCUAGGGUAGCAAACAGGAUUAGAUACCCGUGUAGUCC